GCGGGGCGUGGUGGUGCACGCCUGUAAUCCCAGCGGCUCAGGAGGCUGAGACAGGAGGAUUGCCAGUUCAAAGCCAGCCUCAGCAACGGCGAGGUGCUCAGCAACUCAGUGAGACCCUGUCUCUA
rnacentral:sRNA from 1 species